UACCACCCUGAACACAUGCCCAUUUUCCUCUGAUCUUGGAAGCUGAGCAAGAUUGGGCCUGGUUAGUACUGGGAUGGGAGAAAACAUUGGUAUUUUGGUC
rnacentral:rRNA from 1 species